CCCAGCCACCUAAAGCAUCUUGCUUGAGAGAGUUUGGGUGUUGGUGAUGUUUCUGCCUUCGUAGCCUCCUGCGGCGUAACGCGCGCAGGGUCACAUAAACUCUGUAAACUUUCAGUGCCAAGUCGUCCUCAGGCCGUACGGAAAAGGUAUGUAAGGGGCUGCUUGGCAACAUCUGAAUGGUUAGGUGCUGAACCAGUAAGAGGUCUGAACCACUAAGAGCUAGUAUAAUGCUUAAUCGUUCAGAGGCAAAUGUCAUACCAAUUCAGAUUAGAUGUCUUAACCAUUCAGACUCUGUAUAAUUCUUUACCAUUCAGAGGCAAAUGUCUGAACCAUUCAGACAUCUGCUCAUGAAACAAAUAGUCUAGACCAGUAAAUGCUGAACCAGUAAGAGGUCUGAACCAUUAAGAGCCUCUUUAAGAGUUUUUGUUGUCAGGAUGAAUGCGGUAGGUUGUCAGGUGCACAAAGGUGGUUGAGUGGUGCGAGUGAUUUGUUUGUUGACCCGUUGACGCCGCCACAAGAAGAAGUAUGGUGGUAGUGGUGGUGAUUAGACCGAUGCUUCAGUCCUGGCCUGUUUCAAGACGUUGGUGAGGAACCUGGGGUGACUUCAUCGAAUAUUCUUUGCAUGUGUUAUGCUAUGUUUUCAUGGUAGAUUUCAGUUUUUAUAUCGUCAUAUGCAAGUGAAUAUGCAUUGUCCUGAAGAAUGCGACUGUACAUAUUAUUGAAGGACUGGAAUGUGUGGCAAUGGCGAUAAUCGUAACUUUUAUCUUUCAACCUACAAUUGGCAGGUAAUUACAAGUUUAUAUAGAACAACAGAGCCUACGUGUCUGAAAUGGAUUGUUUAUUAUGGGUUUUUUUUUUUUUAAUUCUUAGUUGUCAGCAAAUUUAUAGGAUAAUAGAUUCGAAGGUCAUCUUCUGCCAUGGAAUCUGAUCAUUCUAUUGUUGUUGCAGGCUACAAAAUGUAAAUAUAUUUUUUUUCAACUAAAAAGCUUACAUAUCUAUGAGUUGUUAUGAAUUUAAGUUGCGGUGGAGGAGAAUCAAGUAUAAGGCGGACACAAAUCAAUCUUUUUAAAUUACAUCCCUUGCAUUUAUAUCUUUGUUAAUUGACGAUUGAAACUACUCAAACAGAGGGUCUGCGGACUGCGUAGGAAAAGCAGUGUUCAGGUUGUGCGUAGGAUAAGCGGUGUGAAUCUUGAACUCUUGAAGAAACAAUAAAGCAAAUGUUAUGAUCUGUAGGGUGUGCGUAGGAAAAGUAGUUUUCAAGUGGCGUAUGUUAGCAGAAGUCAGAAGAAAAUAUUGCAUAAGGUUGUUUUGUUGCCAAUUUUCAUCAUUUGGGAUGUCAUCUCUCUAUCUUGCGCCGCUAGACAGCCACCAGCUUCUAGACAGAAACUUCAGGUUCAGAAGCACCUUAAACGCCUCAAUAAACCCCAUGUUAAGCCUAUUCAGGCAGUGAAGAUGUAGAAGCCGAAAUACAAGCAGGUUUUUCUCUAUUAUUGUGUUGAAGCCGAAGAACUUGCUCGCAAAAUCACCAAUCAACCAGAUCACAGUCAGUUACAAUCCGUCAACUGAGAAUUUCUUUCACACCUUUUAUCCAAAGUUGUCUUUUUUUUUUUUUUUAAAAUUUUUGUUGCUUUACCUUUAUCUCUCAAGCUCUCCUUGUCUUAUACAUUCCACGCAAUCGGUCUUCUACGUUCCAGGUAAUCUCAGGAUUCAACAAUGGAGAUGUUAUGAUCAGUGUUGUUUAAACAUGAAGAAAUAAGAUAAUUUCGUAGGUAGAUUAAUUAGCUUUUCACUUCAAUCUAAUAUCCUUUUGUAUUGUUUAGACCAAGAUUUCCUUAAAUUAUCUUCUACGUGUUUAGAUACAACAUUUAGUGGUUGUAAGGGCGAUUAGAAAUGUGAUAUUUAUUUAUAGUGUGCGUCUAUUAUUACUUGUAAGUGAAAUAAACGAUUACAAAGUUGUUUAUUUGAA